rnacentral:rRNA from 1 species
GUGCCAGCCGCCGCGGUAAUACAGAGGUGGCAAGCGUUGUUCGGAUUUAUUGGGCGUAAAGGGUCCGUAGGCGGUUUGGAUAGUCGGAUGUGAAAUCCCACAGCUUAACUGUGGAACUGCAUUCGAAACUUCCAGACUAGAGUAUGAGAGGGGUCAAGGGAAUUCCCGGUGUAAGGGUGAAAUCUGCAGAGAUCGGGAAGAACACCAGUCGCGAAGGCGCUUGACUGGCUCAUUACUGACGCUCAGGGACGAAAGCUAGGGGAGCAAACGGGAUUAGAAACCCCCGUAGUCC